UCGGAUGUGGUGUAUAAUGCACGCCUGCACUUAUUAUUGUUGAGAACUGUAAUUGUAGCAGGAGGCCUGAGUUCGACUCUCAGCAUCCGAA